AUUGAACGCUGGCGGCAGGCUUAACACAUGCAAGUCGAACGAUGACUAACUAGCUUGCUAAAUAUAAUUAGUGGCGGACGGGUGAGUAACAUUUAGGAAUCUGCCUAGUAGUGGGGGAUAGCUCGGGGAAACUCGAAUUAAUACCGCAUACGACCUACGGGUGAAAGGGGGCGCAAGCUCUUGCUAUUAGAUGAGCCUAAAUCAGAUUAGCUAGUUGGUGGGGUAAAGGCCUACCAAGGCGACGAUCUGUAACUGGUCUGAGAGGAUGAUCAGUCACACCGGAACUGAGACACGGUCCGGACUCCUACGGGAGGCAGCAGUGGGGAAUAUUGGACAAUGGGGGCAACCCUGAUCCAGCCAUGCCGCGUGUGUGAAGAAGGCCUUUUGGUUGUAAAGCACUUUAAGCAGGGAGGAGAGGCUAAUGGUUAAUACCCAUUAGAUUAGACGUUACCUGCAGAAUAAGCACCGGCUAACUCUGUGCCAGCAGCCGCGGUAAUACAGAGGGUGCGAGCGUUAAUCGGUAUUACUGGGCGUAAAGCGAGUGUAGGUGGCUCAUUAAGUCACAUGUGAAAUCCCCGGGCUUAACCUGGGAACUGCAUGUGAUACUGGUGGUGCUAGAAUAUGUGAGAGGGAAGUAGAAUUCCAGGUGUAGCGGUGAAAUGCGUAGAGAUCUGGAGGAAUACCGAUGGCGAAGGCAGCUUCCUGGCAUAAUAUUGACACUGAGAUUC
rnacentral:rRNA from 1 species